rnacentral:rRNA from 1 species
GUAGCAAUACCCGAGUAAAGUGGCGAACGGGUGAGUAACGCGUAGGAAACCUGCCUUCGAGAGGGGGAUAACACUCCUAACGGGGUGCUAAUACCGCAUGAAACUACGGAGUCGCCUGGCUCUGUAGUCAAAGGUGGCCUCUAUUUAUAAGCUACCACUCGAAGAUGGUCCUGCGUCCCAUUAGCUAGUUGGCGGGGUAACGGCCCACCAAGGCGACGAUGGUAGCCGAUCUGAGAGGAUGACCGGCCACACUGGGACUGAGAUACGGCCCAGACUCCUACGGGAGGCAGCAGUCGAGAGGCUUCGGCAAUGGGGGAAACCCUGACCGAGCGACGCCGCGUGGAGGAUGAAGGCCUUUGGGUUGUAAACUCCUGUCAUGUGGGAAGAAACGCUACCGUUCGAAUAGGGCGGUAACUUGACGGUACCACAAGAGGAAGCUCCGGCUAACUCCGUGCCAGCAGCCGCGGUAAUACGGGGGGAGCAAACGUUGUUCGGAAUCACUGGGCGUAAAGGGCGCGUAGGCGGCUUUAUAAGU